rnacentral:rRNA from 1 species
UACGUAGGGUGCGAGCGUUGUCCGGAAUUAUUGGGCGUAAAGGGCUCGUAGGCGGUCUGUCACGUCGGGAGUGAAAACUCAGGGCUUAACCCUGAGCCUGCUUCCGAUACGGGCAGACUAGAGGUAUGCAGGGGGAGAACGGAAUUCCUGGUGUAGCGGUGAAAUGCGCAGAUAUCAGGAGGAACACCGGUGGCGAAGGCGGUUCUCUGGGCAUUACCUGACGCUGAGGAGCGAAAGUGUGGGGGAGGCGAACAGG